rnacentral:rRNA from 1 species
GCUAACAUGCAGUCGAGCGGUAGAGAGAAGCUUGCUUCUCUUGAGAGCGGCGGACGGGUGAGUAAUGCCUAGGAAUCUGCCUGGUAGUGGGGGAUAACGUUCGGAAACGGACGCUAAUACCGCAUACGUCCUACGGGAGAAAGCAGGGGACCUUCGGGCCUUGCGCUAUCAGAUGAGCCUAGGUCGGAUUAGCUAGUUGGUGAGGUAAUGGCUCACCAAGGCGACGAUCCGUAACUGGUCUGAGAGGAUGAUCAGUCACACUGGAACUGAGACACGGUCCAGACUCCUACGGGAGGCAGCAGUGGGGAAUAUUGGACAAUGGGCGAAAGCCUGAUCCAGCCAUGCCGCGUGUGUGAAGAAGGUCUUCGGAUUGUAAAGCACUUUAAGUUGGGAGGAAGGGUUGUAGAUUAAUACUCUGCAAUUUUGACGUUACCGACAGAAUAAGCACCGGCUAACUCUGUGCCAGCAGCCGCGGUAAUACAGAGGGUGCAAGCGUUAAUCGGAAUUACUGGGCGUAAAGCGCGCGUAGGUGGUUUGUUAAGUUGGAUGUGAAAUCCCCGGGCUCAACCUGGGAACUGCAUUCAAAACUGACUGACUAGAGUAUGGUAGAGGGUGGUGGAAUUUCCUGUGUA